UGGGGAAUAUUGGACAAUGGGGGAAACCCUGAUCCAGCAAUGCCGCGUGAGUGAAGAAGGCCUUAGGGUUGUAAAACUCUUUCACCCGUGAAGAUGAUGACGGUAGCGGGAGAAGAAGCUCCGGCUAACUCCGUGCCAGCAGCCGCGGUAAUACGGAGGGGGCUAGCGUUGCUCGGAAUUACUGGGCGUAAAGCGCGCGUAGGCGGUGGUUCUAGUUAGAUGUGAAAGGCCUGGGCUUAACCUAGGAACUGCAUUUAAUACUGGAUCGCUAGAAUCCGAGAGAGGGUAGUGGAAUUCCCAGUGUAGAGGUGAAAUUCGUAGAUAUUGGGAAGAACACCAGUGGCGAAGGCGGCUACCUGGCUCGGUAUUGACGCUGAGGUGCGAAAGCGUGGGGAGCAAACAGGAUUAGAUACCCCCGUAGUCC
rnacentral:rRNA from 1 species